rnacentral:rRNA from 1 species
GUGGGGAAUCUUAGACAAUGGGCGCAAGCCUGAUCUAGCCAUGCCGCGUGAGCGAUGAAGGCCUUAGGGUUGUAAAGCUCUUUCGCUGGGGAAGAUAAUGACUGUACCCAGUAAAGAAGCCCCGGCUAACUUCGUGCCAGCAGCCGCGGUAAUACGAAGGGGGCUAGCGUUGUUCGGAAUUACUGGGCGUAAAGCGCACGUAGGCUGAUAUUUAAGUCAGGGGUGAAAUCCCGGGGCUCAACCCCGGAACUGCCUUUGAUACUGGGUAUCUUGAGUAUGGAAGAGGUCAGUGGAAUUGCGAGUGUAGAGGUGAAAUUCGUAGAUAUUCGCAGGAACACCAGUGGCGAAGGCGGCUGACUGGUCCAUUACUGACGCUGAGGUGCGAAAGCGUGGGGAGCAAACAGGAUUAGAAACCCCGGUAGUCC